rnacentral:lncRNA from 1 species
AGAGGACAACCUGUGACCCUGAAGCUUGCCUGGGCUGACAGGUUCUCGGCACACAGCACCACCUGGGACAGCUGCCUGGCCGCCUCCCUGGGGCAGGUAUGCAUGGCCUGGCCGCUGUGCCCAGUGUGGGGCUCCCCUUUGCUCCAGGCUUCUUGGCUGCCCCCCCCAGGUCAUGUACCCUAUUCUCUUCCCUAUCAGCUCCAGGAAACCUGGGGCCUGGACGCCCUCCAGGCCUGCAGAGCUGUAACACAGACCCCAGACAUGUUCACUGAACAGCUUGACCUGUCCUGGGGCCAGCAGCGCAUGCAGCAGAACUUGACAUAUGAGAGGCAUCGGCCAUCUCAGCCAGACAAGAUCAUCAUGGAGGCCACGCUGGAGCACAUCCUCAGGGCCUCUUGCGCCCAGCAGAGCUUCCGGGGAGAAGUACAGACUGACUACGCACACUGGCUGCGGCACUCCUUCCACCUGGGGGCUCUGUGACCUGCCCAGGGUGAGUCUGCCCUGGGGAAAGGGGAAGCUGGAAGACCAGGGACCCAUGGUGAGGGGGCAGCAGGGAGGGUGGUGCCCACAGAAUGCAGGGGUGUGAGCCAGGCAGCCAGAUGCCAGCAUGGUGGCUCUGCCAUUUGCCUGCUGGGUGACUGGGCAGGGCGCCUCUCCUCUCUGAGCCUCCAGUGUUUCAUCUGAGGAAUGAAAGCAGCAGCAGAUUCCAGGAUGUAGGUGAUGGUGAGAGUUAAGAGAGAUGUGAUGCGGGAAUGCUUAGCCUUCGUGUCUGGCACAGAAGUUAGAGUUGCUGUUGUCAUGAUUGCCUCAGAAGAGAGGUAUUGGGACCCCUUUUCCUCAACCCCUAUCCCCUCCUGGGGUUGGUAGCUGGUUGAUUGGUUCUUCUAUUCACCCACCCACUCAUCUAUCCAUUCAUUCUCCCAUCCUUCCAUCCUCCUUCCCAUCUUCCAUCCAUCCCCCUAUUUCUGCCCUCC